ensembl:lncRNA
AGCCAGUCUGCCUUCAAGACUGAGGAGCUGAGGCUUCACGCUGGGCAAGCAGACCCCGUCUCUGAGCCUCAGUUUCUCCGUCUGUGAGACAGAGCUUCCACUAGGAUGGCUCUGAUCAAAAAAACUCAAAUGCGCAGCGUCGGGAGGAUGUGGGGAAGCUGCGGGUAAGAAGGGGACAUGGUUCGGUCACUGUAGAAAAGAGUUCGGUGGCACCUCAAAAGAUCAAACACAGGGUCACCAUACGACCCAGCAGUUCCACCCCUGGCUAGAGACACAGAGAAGUGAAAACGUGUGCAAAGACUCGUACACCGUGUUCACGGCAGCGCGUUCACAAUCGCCCCAAGUGGAAACAACCCAGACGGCCAGCAACAGAUGAUGGAGGAACAGAACGCCCGUCCGCACGGGGGACCAGCGCUCAGCCAUAGAGACAGGCGAAGCCCUGACAGGCGCUACAGCGGGGACGGACCUCGGAAACCUGGCGCCAAGAGGAGAAAGCCACACACAGGGGGCCACACGGUGUGCGAUCCCAUUUAUGAAACAUCUGGAACAGGCCGUGCGCAGCGGGCCCUGAAGCCGGCGGGUCGGGCCUGCUGGGCGGCUCGCGAGGCUUCUGCAACACCGGCCCAGCCAGGGGUUCCUGUUUUGGGAGAAUGUUGUCACCACCGCUUCUUAGAAAGAGCCUGAGGAGCGUGGUGGCCGGACUGAAGCCCGCCCUGGGCAGACCUGGCGACAGGCUCCUGAGACAAGGUGGGCGGCCGGCCAGGUCACUGAGCCCGCGGCCGUGGGGAGGAAGCCGAGGGGCACGGUGACUCCACGGGCCACAGUGGGGUGACGGGGCUCCCAGAGCCGCAGUGAGGGGCCGAGCCAGGGCCGUAGCAGGGGCCUUUCUGCUCUGAGCGACCCCGCCCCUACCCCGGCCUCGCGCCCGGCUCCCAUCCCCAUCUCCUGCCCCGCCCCGGCCCCGACCCCGUCCCCCAACCCCCUCCCCAUGCCCGGUCUGGUCCUGUCCCCGCGGCCCGCGCAGCGGGCGCCGCCGCCCCCGCUGAGGAUCUCCUCCUCGGCCGCCUGGAGGCCACGUUGUGAAACGCCCUGGACUCAGCCCUCCCGCGCCCCCACGGACGGACCAGGACACCGAGGCCGAGAGCUCAGCCAGGAGCCCACGGGCGCCAGCUGCUUCUUGGGCACAGUGGCUCUUCCCGCCCUCGGCGCGCGGGGUCGGCCGGAAAAGAAGAGGCUCGGGUGUCACCUCCACCUUUGACAUAGAGCCAAGCAGCCUGGCCUUGCUGUGCCUCACUUUCCGCCCCCCCACCCACAGCAUGCGUCACUCACUCGUCUUAAACCUCCUGUUCGCCGCGUUGGUGGCCUUUGCAUGUGUCCACCGUGCGUCCUCAGCCUCCGCUCAAACCUGUCCGUGGCAUUGCCUUAGUCUCAGGUGACUUCCGAGGCUGUGGUGCCCAGGCCCUGCCCCCAACCCUGUCACCCAGGCCUCCCGAGGCCCUGGCCCGAGCUGUGCCCCCUGGACCGCCCUUCCCGGGUCCAGCCAUGCCCUCGGCCUCUCCAUUAGUGCUUUCUCACCCCGGUCUGCCUCAGCCUCAUGUUAACAGCUUUCUUUCCUUUUCUUCUUUGUAAGCGUUUUAUUCAAGAAUAACACGGAGACGUUGAAGAGCCUGAAUCCCGAGUGUGCAGCUCUCGAUACAUUUUCACAAAGUUAACACACCCACCUCUCCAGCACCCAGAUAAGAGGGAGGACAUCGCAGCCCCUCUCUCCCAGUGGAGCUCGCUUGCAGGCUCAGCGUUUUGAAUUGAUGAUUGAUGAUUACAGGAUAGGCCCCCUGCCUGUCAUGUAGCUGCUCAACAAGCUGCAGGGUCCAUGGCUUGCAUUAAUAGAGGUGUAGACUCCAGGAUGAAGGAGAUGAUUUCCCUCCUCAUUCUGGGCUGGUCAGAGCAGGCAGGCAGCUCCCCCUGCCACUUUGCAACGGGGCAGGCAGACGGCAGAGGGUUCAGGGAGGAUCACCGUGGUGUGUGUGUCUCUGUGUGUGUGUGUGCGUGUGCAUGUGCACACUUCUGAGUGGUGCCCUGGGAGAAAGCACUGGAGGCUUUAGGCGUUUGACCUGGAGACGGACAGCCCCGGGUCCCUGUCACCUGCUCCGGUGGCUGGAUGGCAGGGCAGGGUCUGAGGGAGGCACCGUCUCACCAGCCAGUUUCUAGGCUACGAGCAGGCUGCUUUGAAUGGUACUGAGCAUCCCGUCAGGACAGAGAGGCCCGCCCAAUGCAUCCUCGGCAGCAGGCUGGGCAGGACAGCAUGGUCCUGCCUCUUACCCGCCCCAGGCCUUGCAGAGAGGGACUGAGGAGAGCUGCAGGGGACAUGUGGCCAAGCUGAGACCUUUCUCGGGGGGAGAUGGAAGCCCAGAGCUGGACAGUGACCUCCCACGGUCAUUUGUCCCAAACUGGCUUUCCAGGCACAGGCCUGGCUUGGAGCUUGGGCUUUGGGUGGAGUUCAGGUUGGGUUAUAUCUGGCAUGGCCGUUCCCUCUCGCCGGCUGCAGCUGCCUGGGGUGGGGACGGUGGGGCAUGCUCCACCAGCCGCACUGGCAAGCGGCUGCAGGUGCUGGGCCGGCCAUUUACAUAGCCACGCUUGGCCUCCCCCGCCUGGCGGCCGGCCUGCCCCCUGGCCUCUCACCAGGAAAGGGCCAGGGCUUCUGAGCGCGGGAGCCGGCUCGGAGCCCUGUAAUCUUGGCGUAGUUUUAUUUCACUUCUGCGUUUCACUUUUACUGGUCUCGGCUGAAGGAUGCAUGUUAGUCAGCCCCGAGAGAAGUUAGUGUGUGCUGUGCCAGCUGGGGUGGGGGCGGGUGAGUGGGCAGACCCAGGUCUGAGUCCCAAGCCACUGCUGGGCGUGUGACCCCUGGAGCCACACUCCACCCCCUGAGCCUCCUGUGAUGUGCACGGGGUGCGGGAGGAGACCCGGGGCCUCGGUUUUGAUGCGGGCCUGCCUCUGUCCUGCUGUGUGGCCUCAGGCAAGUCCCUUCCCCUCUCUGGGCCUCAAUUCUCUCCUCUGUAAAAUGGAAUAACCACAGUCACAUCCUUGCAACGCUGUCUCUCUGAUCCGACACUGGCGCAGGGUCUGGCUGAGUGCUUGUCCAGCGGGCUGUUUCGGGCUGGGCGAGGUGAGGAGGCCUGAGGGUGGAGGGGCUGGAGCAGUUGUAUGUCCUUGAACUUGAGAAACCUGAGCUUGUGUAGGGAUUUCAUCAUGAGGCUGGACGAAAUGCAGAUUCCUGGGCCUGCCCGGGCAUCUGCGGGAGCCACGUCAGGCCCAGAAACUUCAGGGAAAUCUCUGGGGCCCGUGGGUGCGUUUGGUGUCAAGUCUGUGUUUCUCAGGACACGACCAGGGAAGGGCUGUGGAGAGGGGGAAACUGAGGCACAGAGGUGCAGCCAGUUCCCAGGGGGGCUCAGCAAGCCAGUGCUGCGCCAGGAUUGAGUGGGGUAGGCCCGAUCCAGACCGGUGCCCCAGCACGCGGCGGCCCUCGGCGGCUCUGCCCAGAGCCCGGGUGCUGCCUCCCAGGGCCGCGGGCUCCCCCCGGGAGUGGCUCGGGGCUGAGCCGGGUUUAUAUAGGGCCUCCCAAAAUAUCUGGCCGCCCAUAGGCCGAGGCUGGCGAGGGCGCGGCUGGCCAGCGCCGCGGCUUCCUGUCCUGCCAAGAUGUUUCCUGCCGAUAGCCGGGCCAGCGGCCUUAUCUGUGACCUCGGGCCGCUGUGAGGACAGCCCCCCUGCCAAGGGACAGGCUGUUCUGGCCCAGGCAGGGGCUGCAGGGACCCUGGAGGGUCAGGGCGAGCAGCCCACUGGGGGUGGGGGUCAUUUGGUCAACACAUGACUUUUAGGAAGGAGCACUGUGCUCAGAGUCCAGCUGCCCCAGAGUUGAGCUGCGGCUCUGGGGCCAAAUGGCUACCUGUCUCUGGGGAGCAGGGCCCCUCUCAAAGUGCCCCUCGCCCAUCAAGUGGGGACAGUGGCAUCUCCAUUUUCCUUCAACUCUCCCCACCCCUAGCCCCUCAAGGAGCCCCAGUCUGCAGGAGACGAGCUGGCCACGCAUGCCCCCAGCCCCGCAGCGCCAGGGCUUGGCUGGAGGGAAGGCAGAGGUGGGAGGAAUCCAGGUGUCUGUAUGGAGCAGCUGCCUGGAGAAGGGAUGUCACAGCUGGGGUUUAAUGGUUAUGUAGGAGCUCACCAGGCAGAACUCGUGGAGGGGAUGGCCAGGCUGAGGGAACAGUGUCUGUGAAUGCUUGGAGUCCAAGUGCCACUCUCAUUUCACAGAGAAAGACACUGAGGUUUUCAGAGGAGGUGAUGCCGUGGCUCUGAAACCUGGCUCUUUCUUCCCCUGUACCCACUGACGGGGACCUGAGCUCCUGGAAGGGGACAUGUACCCUCCCCAUUGUGACCCUGGGAUCUGGAGAACAAUUUUAAAUUUCAAAAUUGCUUUUAUUGCAGCCCAAACAGUGGAAUUAACUCUACGUAAUAAUGAGGUGUGUGUGUGAGGUGUGCGCGCGUGUGGCCCUAUAGAUGCACACACAGUAAUAACUCAGAGGGAAUAAAAUUUCUAGGAAAUAAGGUUUAUUUUGGCAGGUGGUAUUAAAAUUAAAGUUGCCGACAUUGAUAACUCAACGUCUUUAACUGGGCGUAAGUGUGACACGUUUUCCUGCCAGGUCACCGACCUCAACGGCUUCGCAAUGAACCGCGACCCUGAGAUGAGCUGUUCUCUUCCUGGAUGUGAGCAAACUGGAACUUUGUUAGUAGCUGAGCGCUGCCUCCGUGGCCCCGCGGUCGGAGGAUGUGGCCGCGCGACAGAGGGACUCGGAGGCACGCACCUCGGUGUCCGCAGCAGCAUGACUCCCAGGAGCCGGAAAGCAGACACGGCCGGAGGGUCCGCUGACAGGUGAUGGAUAAACCAACUGUGGUCCAUCCCGAGGGACUAGCACUCGGUCAUAACAAAGACCACAGCCCUGACACGCGCUUCACAGUGGACGAACCUCACGGCCUCACGCUGAGUGAGAGAAGCUGACACAGAAGGCCUCAUGUGAUCCCAUAGGGGAAAGGUCCAGAACAGGCAGAUCCACAGACAGAGGCAGACGGGUGGUGGCCCGGGGCUGGGGAGGGGGAUGGGGAGGGGCUGCUCGUGGGGACGGGGUCUCCUUCUAGGGUGAUGGAAUGUUCAGGAAUUAGAUACUGGUGGUGGUUGCAUGUGCACUAAAUGUCCCUGAAUUGUGUACUUUAAGUUGGUUCAUUUUGUUAUGUGAAUUUCACCUCAAUUAAAAAAAAAAGAUUUUGGGGCCGGCCUGGGGGCGCAGCGGUUAAGUGCGCACAUUCCGCUUCCUUGGCCCGGGGUUCGCGGGUUUGGAUCCUGGGUGUGGCCAUGGCACCUCUUGGCACGCCAUGCUGUGGCAGGCGUCCCACAUAUAAAGUAGAGGAAGAUGGGCAUGGAUGUUAGCUCAGGGCCAGUCUUCCUCAAAAAAAAAAAAAGAUUUCUAAAAUGUGUAGCAUUUUUUCAGAGGUGGCUUCUGGGUGGUUUCAAAAACUUUAGAUGGUGAACCUUUGUGCUGUUUUCUGGUUUUCUUGCCCGUGGAUGGGACUGGCUCCGGGAAGACCUGUUGCUGAAGCUGUAAUGACGACGUACGUGCUGGCGCCGAUGCCUAUGAAAGCUUUAGCUCUCCCGGCCUGCUGGACCCCGGCCUGCACGCGUCCCCUGAGGCCCCUCCCAGAAUCCUCCCUAAGAGGCAGGGGCCAUUGAGCCCGUUUCCCUGAUGAGGAACUGAGGUUCAGAUGGCCUUGGUCACCCAGCCGGCAAGCGGUCAAGCGCAGGUCGCACUCAGGUCUGG